GCCCCCGUAGCUCAGAUGGAUAGAGCAGCAGAUUCCUAAUCUGUUGGCCGGACGUUCGAGUCGUCUCGGGGGCGCCA
rnacentral:tRNA from 1 species